rnacentral:rRNA from 1 species
ACGGGAGGCAGCAGUGGGGAAUAUUGGGCAAUGGGCGAAAGCCUGACCCAGCGACGCCGCGUGAAGGAAGACGGUCCUCGGAUUGUAAACUUCUUUUAUGUGGGACGAUACAAGACGGUACCACAUGAAUAAGCCACGGCUAACUACGUGCCAGCAGCCGCGGUAAUACGUAGGUGGCGAGCGUUAUCCGGAUUUACUGGGUGUAAAGGGUGUGUAGGCGGGAUUGCAAGUCAGAUGUGAAAUCUAUGGGCUCAACUCAUAGUCUGCAUUUGAAACUGUAGUUCUUGAGGGUCGGAGAGGUAACUGGAAUUCCUGGUGUAGCGGUGAAAUGCGUAGAUAUCAGGAGGAACACCGGUGGCGAAGGCGGGUUACUGGACGACACCUGACGCUGAGACACGAAAGCGUGGGGAGCAAACAGGAUUAGAUACCCUGGUA